rnacentral:rRNA from 1 species
CGAAAAGGUGCCGAGCGAGCGAGCGAGCGAGCGGCCUGGGGUAGGUUGCAACGCUUCGUCUGCCUUUUUUUUUCCUCUUCUCUCUCUCUCUCUCGAGCGGGCGAGCUCCUGCGGGCAAGGAGAAGGAGGCGUUCUUUAUCCGCGUUUGUGUUGUUGUGUCACCUCGGUUGCCUUAGGGGUUUAGCUAGAGAGCAGAGGCCCGGCUCUUGGGGGUUAAGCGUCAGGGGUCGGGGGUAAGGCCAGCGGGACUAGGAGGGGGCGUCCGCUAAGCAGCCUCAAACGGCGGGGAGCGCCGGGGCGGCCCAAGACACUAAGGCGGAGCCCGCGGAGCCCCUAGAGAGGCAACGAGCGGCUGGUCGGUACCGCGGCCGAAGCCGAGGCCGAGGCCGCAACCUGCAGCUCCCGCCCCAGCCGCCGCCGUUGUCGGUCUUGCGCGACUUCAGGCUUCGGCUGCACCUCGCAAGGCAGCGAGGCCCUCCGCCAAGACGCGGGCCACUUAAGGCGCGUCUACUGGGCCGGUGUCGCCAAACACUCCUGCCAUAGUUGAGGAGUCUAUUGGGUCGGGACCGACACCUACAGUUGCCGUUCCCGCUGCCCCCGUUCCUCUUAGACCCGUUCCACGCCCACUUUAGGCUCGGGCUCGUGACGCUCCCACUUCCGCGGCAAGAACGGGGAACGUGGUCCGGGCGCCCACGGCUAAAACACCCCUAUCGAAGGAGGAGGAUAUUUGACGGGCACCGCUCAGGGCUCCUGAGCUGGCUGCUCGCUCCUCCCCUAUCGUGUCUCACGAGCUCGAGCAAGCGUCUGAGGACAACACUCUGACCACUACUCCGUCCGUUACCACUGGGCCUUCACUUAAGAGGGAAAAGUCGAGUACGAUUACCGCCAGUUCGAAGGCGCUACGGGUCUUUCUUUUUCCAUUGACGGCUCACCUCCUUACGGCAGGCGGGUUACGACACCUCUACACUCACCAAUCUCGACGCGUACUUCCUAGAAAAUAGAGUUCAUAGUUUCAUACUGUCGGUCGAACGAGAGUAGCUCGUCCUUUUUCUUAACGUCUCUCGUUGUUCGUUCUGUUUACCAACAUCCGUUCUUAGACCCUUCUUGACGUCUCUGGUACUUUUAUAAUCGUACCUCUCCUCUUUCGCGUUUUCUGUACUUCUGUGACACCUGUGUAGUAACAUGGAGUUCUUCGUGUUCUAUAAUAGUAUGAAGAAACUAUUUGUUUUGUUCCCUCGACUGCGUCUACCGGAGAAUUAACUACUACUAUCAGUACCAGUUCAACCCCUACUAUGAUCUACGGCGGAACUUUAACAACCAAACGGACGCAGGUUCCUUAUACUAUACCAAAGGUUGGUUAAACACAAUGUUUUUCAAGAGUACGUUUAACCACCAUAGGUCAGAGCUCAAGUAGCAGAUGUUCUCGCAGAGUCGUUCCGAGCGACAUUUGUUCGUUUCAACCGUAGAAAGUACCUAGUACUGGUCCAGUUCCACCGACUCUUCUCCGUUUCCUAUGUUUUUGCGCGUAAGAGAGGACUCUUACUAGCUAUACGAUUCGGUGUCUUUUUCUUCUUCGAUUUGUAAAACGACCUCGUCCUCCUACCUGGUUGAGACAGUCAUUUUGGGUGUAACAGACUCUCCCCUUGACUAACAGAUUAUCUUCUAGGUGUCCCAUUAUCACUUCUUUUUCGAGAUCUCUCCUCGGUCCGUGUAUUCUUUCUGUAGUGUCACCUGGAUGAAGAUCGACAACUUUCAAGGAAUGGUUUACCAGUAAACCCUCUAAACACGUUUCUUUUGUGACUACUAUAGGAGUAUCUGUUGGUUCCCCGGUUUCUACCCAUAGUCGGCGAACUCUUGCGGUUCGUAGGUGGACUCCUUGGUGGACACGAAUAACUCUUACAACGAUUUUGACGAGGUAGCUUUCAACCCUUAUGGAGACUUGGUCACCUUCGGCUCUUUUCAAGCCAGGGUGACCAAUUCGUUCUUCAUUGAUAACCUUUUGACGGUCAAAACUUCGUACAGAUGAGACCUUUCUUUGCACCUUCCUGUGGGUUCUGUCUUCUAUACCCGAGACUUCGACGUAGGUUCUUGGUGUUAUUUCUCCGGAGACUUUGUGGAAGACGUUUCGUCUUUCGACUCUGUUGUGGGACGCGACUUUUGCUCUUGCGACCGAGUUUCUACGUCCUUUAGCACCUGUAAGCCAGAGGAAGUUUCUUCAGCUUGAGACCCUUAAGAACAAGUCGACGUCUCUUCGACUUUUAACCUUUGAGUAGGAGUCGACGUUUCCGCGUCUUUAGACCUUUGAGAAGGAGUCGGCGUUUCCGAGGGUUUUGUCCUUUGAGUAGGAGUCUACCUUUAUUCGUCCGUCGACCUUUGAGUAGUAGUCGACGUUUCUUCGGUUUUUACCCCUUGAGUAGGAGCCUACCUUUCUUCGUCCGUCGACCUUUGAGUAAGUGUCGACGCUUCGGCUUUUGUCCUUUCAGUAGGGGUCUACCUUUCUUCGUCCGUCGACCUUUGAGCAGGCGUGGACGUUCCUGCCUUUACUCACUUUUGUAGGUGUGGUUAGAAUCCUAACUCUUCCGAUAGAACCACCUCCACUUGUCGUCCUCCUCAGUUUCCCAUGCCUUCGGAUUCCAAAUGACUUCGUUUUGGUCUGACGAGUUUAAGUCCCGUCACAUUAAUACUCUUUGUCCAGAACAAAUAGUUAGAUAGGUAAAGCAGAACGACUUCAAGCAUCGAUAUAACUGUCGCCGAAGAGCGUUUCAUUAAAUCACAUCUAUAAGGAUUGGAAAAGCAAACCCAGUGGUUUGAUUUUUAUACGAAGAAUACAUAUCAACAAGAAACGACUCGAACACUACGUUUAUACGAACGUGAACCACAGAGAGAUGACGCAACAAACAAGUCAAAACUGUGAAGGUCAACAUAAGAGGAUCGUAAACAAAGG